GAUGAAGAACGUAGUAAAAUGCGAUAAUUAAUGUGAAUUGCAGAAUUCAGUGAAUCAUCGAGUCUUUGAACGCACAUUGCGCCCCCUGGUAUUCCGGGGGGCAUGCCUGUCCGAGCGUCAUUGCUGCCCUCAAGCACGGCUUGUGUGUUGGGCUUCCGUCCCUGGCAACGGGGACGGGCCCAAAAGGCAGUGGCGGCACCAUGUCUGGUCCUCGAGCGUAUGGGGCUUUGUCACCCGCUCCCGUAGGUCCAGCUGGCAGCUAGCCUCGCAACCAAUCUUUUUAACCAGGUUGACCUCGGAUCAGGUAGGGAUACCCGCUGAACUUAAGCAUAUCAAUAAGCGGGGA
rnacentral:misc_RNA from 1 species